rnacentral:rRNA from 1 species
AACGAACGCUGGCGGCAUGCCUAACACAUGCAAGUCGAACGAGACCUGCGGGUCUAGUGCCGCACGGGUGCGUAACGCGUGGGAACCUGCCCUUAGGUUCGGAAUAACUCCCCGAAAGGGGUGCUAAUACCGGAUAAUGUCUUCGGACCAAAGAUUUAUCGCCCUUGGAUGGGCCCGCGUUGGAUUAGCUAGUUGGUAGGGUAAAAGCCUACCAAGGCGACGAUCCAUAGCUGGUCUGAGAGGAUGAUCAGCCACACUGGGACUGAGACACGGCCCAGACUCCUACGGGAGGCAGCAGUGGGGAAUAUUGGACAAUGGGCGACAGCCUGAUCCAGCAAUGCCGCGUGAGUGAUGAAGGCCUGAGGGUUGUAAAGCUCUUUUACCCGGGAUGAUAAUGACAGUACCGGGAGAAUAAGCUCCGGCUAACUCCGUG